UUGUUUCUGCACGCUGUGCUGCAUGCAUCCAUACUAAGAUUCUUUUUCCGGUAUGAUAAGAAGUCCCGUCACACAGCCAAUCAGAUACUUAACUUGAAAUCCGCCCAGUUGUCGUUUUAGCCAAUCAGAAACUCCAAUGGAACCCGCCUACUCCGCUUGAAAUCCACCCAGUGUUUGUUUUAGCCAAUCAGAACAACGCUUUGAAACCGCCCACUGUAAUACACUUCCAGUACUUGAAAUCCGCCCACUCGGGGUCAGUGUUCUGCAGAGACUAGAACUUGCCAUUGGGCAGAACUGCGCGGGUUUAGGAGAUCCAAACGGAAGUAACACCUUUAGGAGUGUUUAAUAGGAACAUAUAAAGUUAAAGAUGCUUUUCAUGCUUUACUGUUAUGUACUGUAGAAAUUGUGUACUGCAAGCAUUGUACCUAUUUCCCCUUAACAAAGUGUUGCGUUAGGUUCAAGAAGUAAUUUAAUAAAAUGCUGUCUGUUGCCGACGACUUCAACACAUAUUUGUUUGGCGGCAACUUUAAUAGUAAUAAAAAGAAAUUUAUUAAGUGGUUGCAACGAAAAAGAUUGCUAUGUAAAAGCAUGCGCUGCCAACUUUACGGGCAAAGGAUGAAACUGUCACAUCAUUCGUGUCGGGAUGGCUAUAUUUGGUCUUUUUUUUUUUUAAUAAGUUCAGUACUGGUAUUUACCGUAAUAUGACUUUUUAUGUAUUUUAGGAUGUGUCGACAAAGUAUUCAUAGCAGCAAGUCUUCGCGAUCCAUACGUUAUGGUUCCAUUUUUAAGCAUUCUUAUGUUUCACUGGAAAAUUGGAUGAGGUUUAUAGAUCGCUUUUCACAGGGUCUUCAUUUGAGGCAAAUUGAUAUGAUUCAGGAUGGCAUAGUGAGUAGCUCCAAGGACACUGACUGAAAUGACAAAGCGACUUAGAAAGAAGAAAAACCGUGCCCAUCAUAUAAACAGUUCAUGGACUACAGAAACUUCAAAUCAAAAGAAAGACAGUCCUUUAGCUGUGGGUCAAAGAGACGACUAAAACAAGAACAGAGACAAGUUCAGAUAAACAUAGGAUUGAUGGUGCCAAAUGGAAGUGAAUUAAAACCUGUAAGAGGGAAAACACUCCCAUUAUUUACAGACUCUCUGGUAGCAGCGCCUGAUCUGCUGAAACUAGCCGUCCAGAAAAUGAGAACAUUUAACAAGGACAUGGAUGAAGGACCAUACAGUAUAUACUUCUGUAUCCAGAUUGGUGGUCAAUGUGCCUGGGACAGAAAGGCCAUUCGUAUUGGCUGAAUAUAAAAAGGAAAUAGGAAAGGCAUAUUGCAUUAUCUCUUUUUUUAUAUGCCUAGAAAAAGACUUUAGAAGAGGUUAGUGGAUCUGAUGAUUUAGCACUUUUACAUAUUUCACAGUGCUGUGACAUACUGUACAUAAUAAUGCAUAAUAAUGUGUUGAUUUUGUUUCCUUUAACUGCAGUGAAUGUUAGCUCAGAAUCAGACUCAAAUUCUGAAAUUCUUGUUACAAGUAAGAGCACAAUUGAAUUCAAUCAGGCUGACACUGUGGGUGAGUUAACAUGAAACAAAUAAUUUAGGAAAGCAAUAUACCGAAUGGCCGUAUUAAUUAUCGUAACCAGAGCUGUUCAGUGCAUAAUGCUUGCCAAUAUUUUGGUUCAACAGAGGCUGGCUACUUAGUAACGUCUGUAGUUGAGUUUGAAAACAGUAGGAUUUAGAUUUUAAAUGGCAUUUGGUGUAACACAUGUGAAUCAUUUUGAUUAUUGUUCAGCCGGUUUAUCUGUCAGAAAUACUAACAACUUGCCAUGUUUCAGCAGGCAACAUUUCAUUGAUAAUUAUUUAUGUAGUAAGAGAAGAAUAAUAUAGGCUGUAUAAAAUUGUUCCGAAUUUCAUGCUUUUUUCCCUCAGGUUUUUGAAGCCAAUAACCAAAGUACACCCAAACACAAAUUAGAAGAUGUAGUGUAAGUACUAAUUUGCAAAUGUAAGUAAUCUGUAAGCUGGUAAUGUGAUCAAAUCACAUGUUUGGGACAGACCCUUGAGUUUAUGUUGAGACCAGAGUUUUUGCUCUAAAUAUAUGAAGUUGUAAAUGAUGUAAGAAUAUUGUGAAAUAUAGCAAAAUUAUCUAGAUUAUAAUUUACCAUAAUUUUAAAUUUCCCUUUUAACUCCAUGAUACUUUGUUGCACUAAAGUAGUCAUGUUCACAUGUUUCAGAGAUACGUCCAGACAUUCAUCAACAAUUCAAGCUGGACAGAUACUAAUAUCUGAUACUGAGGAUACUCUGGAUCUACCUGAAUACAAUGUGACUAAGUCCACCUACUAAAGAGAGGAGGUAAACAUUACACUACCUGAUAUCAUUGCAAACCUGUUGCAUCAUAUUGAUCAUGGAAGAGUUAGCUGGUUCAACAUUGCAAGGUCAAAUGUCUGGGAUGGAGCAGUCCGAGGUUUCAAGCGUGCAACAUAUUCAGAAACCUGUGAUAUGCUGGUCUGAUUUACUGAUGAUGCUGGUGUUUUUGAGGAUGGAAUUGAUACAGGUGGACUAAGAAGAGAGUUUCUAACUCCACUGAUGAACCAUCUUAAAGACCGACCAAUUUUUGAUGGACCAACAGGACAACGUUACUUAGUCUACAAUGCAAAUGUGAUGUAUACAUAGUGUUAAGAUGUGUGACUUGUAAUUAUAUAUCAUAUCACUGAUACGCUUUGUUACUUGAACUGUUCCAGAGGUAUUUAGCAACAACAUGCUUAGGUUUGUCUUGAUUUUAAUGCAUCAUGAAGCAUAUUUGAAUGUUUCCAAAAGUAGUUGCUAAAUAUGUGUGGAACAGUAGAAAUAACAUUAAAAGCAAUUUGGAAUUGUGGUUUGAAUUGUAAAUCACCCAAAAUUCUAAAAUAUGAAUGAUUUUCAUUCAUAGCUCUCAGAGAGAAUGAGUAUUUCUUGGCAGGAAAGAUGAUUGCGGUAUCAGUUGUGCAUGGAGGCCCAGGUCCGCAUUUCCUCUCGGAAGAUCUUGUACAGUAAUCCCUCGCUAUAUCGCGCUUCGACUUUCGCGGCUUCACUCCAUCGCGGAUUUUAUAUGUAAGCAUAUUUAAAUAUAUAUAGCGGAUUUUUUGCUGGUUCGCGGAUUUCUGCGGACAAUGGGUCUUUUAAUUUCUGGUACACGCUUCCUCAGUUGGUUUGCCCAGUUGAUUUCAUACAAGGGACGCUAUUGGCAGAUGGCUGAGAAGCUACCCAACCACAGCGCAUAUUAUGUAUUAAAUAAAACUCCUCAAAUAUAUUGUGAGCACGGAGGCUGUUUGCACCCCUAGAGGACACGGCUGCUCCUCAAAAAACGCUGAAAGAGUACCUUCACACUGCUUCCUUCUUUGCUGGGCUUACAUGUGGCUGCUUUGCAAGCGAUAUGCUUCCCACAUGGUGCUUCGCAUACUUAAAAGAUCAAACAGCACGUAUUGAUUUUUGAUUGUUUGCUUUCCGCUCUCUCUCUCUCUCUCGCUCGCUCUGACAUUCUCUGCUCCUGACGGGAGGGGGUGUGAGCAGGGGGCUGUUCGCACACUGGCCUAGAAGAUACGGACGCUUCUCAAAAAAAUGCUGAAAAAUGCUUGCUCCUUUCCUUGCAGCUACAGUACUUUGUCCGGCGGUGCUUCGCAUACUUAAAAGCCAAUCAGCCCUAUUGAUUUUUGACUGUUUGCUUUUUUCUCUCUCUCUCUCUAUCUGACGCGCAUUCCUUUGAAGAGGAAGAUAUGUUUGCAUUCUUUUAAUUGUGAGACGGAACUGUCAUCUCUGUCUUGUCAUGGAGCACAGUUUAAACUUUUGAAAAGAGACAAAUGUUUGUUUGCAGUGUUUGAAUAACGUUCCCGUCUCUCUACAACCUCCUGUGUUUCUGUGCAAAUCUGUGACCCAAGCAUAACAAUAUAAAAAUAACCAUAUAAACAUAUGGUUUCUACUUCGCGGAUUUUCACCUUUCGCAGGGGAGUCUGGAACGCAACCCCUGCGAUGGAGGAGGGAUUACUGUACUGUAUCUUGCUGGCCAGCCUUCAUUCAAAGCAACAGUGAAUGAUGUAACUGAAGAAGAAAUAAAGAAAGCUUUGCGAGAGGUAGGAAAAGCAUAAUGCUAUAGUAGGGCAGGGUUUAUUUAUUAGUUUCUGCAAUGCUUUGAGAAAAUCAUUACUUCCUUGAUAACAUACACAGAGUAAUGCAUUUAUUGUUCUGUGAUUGUACAAGAUAUAGGGUUAAACUAGAUAAGUAAUGGAACAGAAAUUUAUGAGAACUGUGUAUACUGUAUAUGCCCCUUUUUUGUGUUUUAGAUUGACUGUGCUGCUUCUGUCGAAGCUUUGCGAGAAUGUACUUUAAAACAUAGCACAAUGUUACAGACAGCUGGUUGUCUGAGAUAUGUGGCUACUCUUGAAGAAAAGAGAACAAUUGUGUCAGACUACCUCCAAUGGUAUAUUAUCGACCGUAACUCAUGUGUAAUUGACAGAUUUAAAAAUGGUCUUUCAGCUCUUCAGUUUUUGACUGCACUGCAGUGGCAUUCUUCUUUGAUGAUCCGUGUGCUGUGCCACAGAAAAGAAGGUUACUGCUCUUGAUCGUGAGGGACUUUUCAAACCUGACCUCAGUCCAUCAGGAAGCAAAAGGAGACUCAGAGAAGGACAACAUUAGGCUACUGGGCUGACUAUCUCCUUGAUUGUGAAGAAGGUCAGGCUGCUGUUCACGUGGAAGAUGUUUUCAUGUUUGCAACUGGGCUAACUUCACUUCCUCUGUCUGGAUUGGAACCGAUGCCAAGGAUUGAGUUCCUGGAUGAUUCACCAUUCCCAAUGGCAAACACAUGUUCAAACACAAUAAAAUUACAACUGCUGGAUUCAUACAAUGUGUUUAAAUCACAUAUGGAUUUUGGAAUUCAGGAUUUUGCUGUUUUUAAAUCAGGUGUGAUUGGUUCCACUAGAUGUGGAUAGGUGUGUGUGCCUUAUAUCACUGCAGCUAGACAACUCGCAUCCAUCUGCACUAGUGGACACACUUUUUUGCACUAUUGUUAUUUAAUUUUAUAAUAUAACUCUGCUGCAUUUGUAUAUUUGAGAUUUUGAAGAAACCACAUGUUUGAUUACUGUUUAUUUAAGCUACAACUGAAGAUGUUUUAAUGUGUUCUUGUUUAUAUUAUGUUACAUUUAGACAGUUUCAUCAAAUCCUGAGAUCUGAAAGAGAGAUUUCCUGGUAAUAAAGCCAAAUCAAAAGUACUUGAAAUUAAACAUUUAUUUUUGAUACUUAAAUAAUAGUGUAAUAAAUAUUUUAUACUUUG